AGAUUUGUUUGGCAUUAAGACCCUUAUAGCUCCAUUUGUCAUCCUAUCUCCCUCUUGAGUAUGUUUUCAACUAACCGAUUAGACCCUAUCCUUUUCAUCCACCUUAUCUAUUUGUGAUCUCCUUAUCUCUCCAAGCUCCAUUUGUCAUCCUAUCUCCCUCUUGAGUAUGUUUUCAACUAACCGAUUAGACCCUAUCCUUUUCAUCCACCUUAUCUAUUUGUGAUCUCCUUAUCUCUCCAAGUCAGCACGCCACCUUAUCACUCCAUUGUUCUUGGGAAUGGACUGGUCAAACAUCGACCAUCAUCACCUUAUCACUCCAUUUGACGUUCCUUCCACCAUCUGCCCCUUAAUAGGCCUUGGCACUCCACACCUCCACUCCUUUCACCCUCUAUCGUCCCCUCCUUAUCACUCCACCACCAAUCUUCUGCUAUCAGGGAUAAGACCCUCCUCUAUGUUCAUUACCUUCCCCUUCGUUUAUCUCCACCGUUGCCAUCUCCUUGCCUACUAGCUCCAGCCUUUCUUCCUCCCCUCCUCUUCCCUCCUUCCUCCUCUAUCACCUCCUCACCACCUCUGCGCCACCCUGCGAUCAGUCCAAGCGCCUACCGCAUCAUCACCUGCUCCUUCCAUCCUUCGUGACCUUUCUCUGUUGUUUUCGCCAUCUCCUACAUUGACCAUCGUAGCCGCCUACCAUCAACCAUUGAAUUUGCCACAAGGGAGCUCAACGGUCAACAACAACUUGGCAAGGGCGGGGACUCGAACACAGGACGGUUGAGACACAAUGGUUUGCAGCCACCAUUGCGUUGCGGGCUCAUGCUCUUUAUGUGCUUUUAAUUUUACUAAUAUAAUUCAAAUUCAUUUGAAUUUUCGGUAUGACUAGAUGGUAUAAAAAUUAUUAGUUCCUGCCUGCAGGAAACUAUAGCGGAGGCUAUUUUCGCUAACCCAUUAUUAAUCUGCGCCAAAACAACCAAUCACAUUUAGUUUUGUUGCAAAGAUUUUCAUGUUUCCUUGGUUCCUGGCCGGAAAAGAUGCAAAUUAUUUAGACGAAUUUUUAUCAUCAAGUUUUUUGGCAUUGGCAUAUUGGAUACAUUGGUGGUUUGUAGGGGUUUGCAGGGCUUUGUGCAGUUCUCAACAAGAGAGAACACACAUCUCCAGAGGCUGCAGGGCCCGUCAAAUCAGAGUCCUGACGGUUGCUUCAAAUAGAUGGCAACCCAUAAAAGAUCCCAGAAAAGACUUGUAGAGAUCAGAUCUAUGGAAAACUGAGUACGAGCGCGAGAAACAAAGCAUGCAAGCAUAUGGCUAGCAUGCAUUUCCCCGUCUAGGUAGUUGUGGCCUGCAAGGGCUUUGUGUGGCAUUUUGUUUAGGAGAAAGCGUGCCUGCUAUAGGUAUUACUCCCACCGGACUCAUCAAUUGCCACAUCCAUUGAACUGUAAUAAAAUAAGUAAAUCCACUCCUUCUGAAACAAAACUACUAUACGCGGGCAGGUUCUGACUGAGAAAAGGAAUACAUUCUUCUGGGCAAUCUUGAAGAGGAUUAAAGAGGAUGACGAACAUUUUAUGUAUGAUUUCCUGAGUAAAUUUAGGGUUUCUUUACAGUUUUCUCUGCCUUGCUCUGACACGCAAAAUUCUUGGGCUGAUUCACUCCUCUCUCUGGACCAAAGCCUCUCAAGAAAAUUACAUCCCCUCUUUUGAAAAUUGAAAGCCCAAAUAAAUCCCUUAAAGCAUUUAGGGUUUUUUACAGUUUUUGAAAUUUAUGUGAUUCGAAAUUCCAAACCAGACACAAUGAUGUUUUACGUAUGGAACUUUGUCUAAGCAGGUUGUGAGUGAGACUAUCCCUACUCUUCAAAAGAUUAAAAAAACUGAAAGGAUUCGAUACAUUGG